rnacentral:rRNA from 1 species
UACGGAGGGUGCAAGCGUUAUCCGGAUUCACUGGGUUUAAAGGGCGCGCAGGCGGAUUGGUAAGUCAGUGGUGAAAGGCUUAAGCUUAACUUGGGAACUGCCAUUGAUACUAUCAGUCUUGAAUGUUGUUGAGGUUUGCGGAAUGGGUCAUGUAGCGGUGAAAUGCAUAGAUAUGACCCGGAACACCUAUUGCGAAGGCAGCAGGCUAAACAAAUAUUGACGCUGAGGCUCGAAAGCGUGGGGAUCAAACAGG